rnacentral:lncRNA from 10 species
CACAGGGACACAGAUGAGAUUGACUCCUGUCUCUUUAGGGGUUGAAUCUCAAUGCAAAGCUUUUAUUUUCUCAAAAACCCAUUGUCAUAGUAUUGGCCUCCAGCACAUAGGGCAGUGAGCCCCUUUAGGUUGAUACCACUGUUCCCUCCUAUGGGCGAUGUCAUUUAUCUUCAUUGGGCUCUACUAUCUUCAGAGGUUCUUCUUUUGUGGAAUUGCUUUCUGAUUUUUCAAAGUUCCAUGGCAUCAGUUUCUUCUAGUGGUUAAGAGUGGCCAGCAAGUCACCUUCUCAUGAAGGCUGUUUGUACACCCUCCUGGGGGCCAGAGCAAACUCUGCCAAGACACCAGCCAUGUUUUUGAGGCUUCUCUCCCAAGCAGACUCUGCAACCUCUCUGCAAGAAUGUGCAGACUAUAGCAUGUUUGUGGCAGCCUCACAUACUGAUCCUAGAGCACUUAUAUCUUCCUCAGUGUCAACUUCAAAACAACCUUUCUGUGAAGCUUUGUUAGAUCUAAUAGGAUGCAUGUCUCAUCGACAAAGUGAUUCAGAAAAUGCAAGCAGUCAUCUUCAUCACAGUCCUAUGGACUUCCAGGCUGAGGUGACACGCAGGGCAGGACUGACAGGUAGGCCAAAGUUCUGGGUAGAGAAGGUGGCACCAGGCAAAAGGUUUGGAAAUUGAGUGGAGGGCCUAGGACCAUUGCAGCCAGGAACUGAGAAAGCUGGGGUUGGGACUCGGGGAGAGGGAAGAUGUAGGCCAUAGACUGUAGUCUGACCGUGAGACUCAGGGGAGGAUGCGGUUGAGAGCAUGGAGAGGGUGUCCUUGGGAGAGGACCUAGGAAAUAAGCCUCCAUGAAAGGGCCCUGGAGCAGGAGCUGAAGCCUAAUUGACAUAUCAUCACCCCAUCCCUUCAUGCCCAGCCUCUCUCUGCUGGGAUCACUCCCUGGCAACCAGCUUUUUAUCAAUCCCCUCUACCUGGCUGGCAAAUCCUGAGCUUCACUCCAGGUGGUCACAAUCUGACCCUUGUGACCUCAUGCUUCCCCACCCCCAUUUGUGAAGUUCCAUCACAGGAAGUUCUUCUCCAGUGGCCCCUGAUCCAGGGAGACCCACCCUGCAACAGCCCUUGUCUCCCUCCGCCCUUGGUUCCUUCUCACCCAUCUCACCACCAUCUGCCCAGGGGAGCCACAUGUCCCAAAUUUUGGAGAGAAAAUAAUUGAGGCUCAUUUCCAGGACAGAGGGGCAAGCUGGGUCUAAAGAGCCAAGCAGAAAGGCUUCCCAAAAUCGCUAGGUUGGGAGGGGUCAGAGACGUGUGGCUGCCCCAGCUGUUCUGACUCUGCCCCAGCUUUUGGCUCCACCCCCUUAAAGCACCUUCAGAGGUUCCCAUGGCGACAGUAAACAAGUCUCCACUGCCUUGGCCAUGUGCUGUGUUCACCCCACUCCUGAUCUUGUUGGCUGCUCAGGGGCUGACAGCCCAGAUGUGCAGCUGUGAUGAGCAGAAACAGGGAGGAAUGGAGCCCCCAGCCAUUGUCAUCACUUCCCUGAUCUGCCUAAAUUCUGCCCAGCAGUCCGUGAAAAUGGUUUGCUGAUGACAUAUGUAAGGACUUUAACUCCCCUCAAGCAAUCUGCUCAUCUCAAAGGAUUUGCAAUGAUCAAGAGGCGUCCUGUGAAUGCAGUUUGCAAAGGACUUAGGCACACAGCAUCUCCUUUGUUCUCACCACAAGGCUGCCGGGUGUGCAGAUGUGAGGAUUAUUUCAAUGGUGAAGAAGCAUCCUGAGAGGUUACGUAGUUCAACUAAUGUCACACCAAGAGCAGGAGAGCAUCUGGGCAUUUGGACAUGGAAGGUGUGGGGCACAAGCAUCUCAUGGCCAGGGAACGGGGGAGGAGCAUCUCAGAGCUGCAUCAGAGUUCAUGCUGGUCCUAGGACAAGAGUCAAGCACACCCUGCUUUCACCAGCUGCUGGUAGCUUUCACUCAGGAUCCCAAAUGCGAAAUAGGUCUUGAAAGGGAUAUCAGACACAUGUCUGACCAUGCGUCUCACCAUUACAUCAGUCUUUGGCCACUGU